rnacentral:lncRNA from 13 species
AAUUGGCUCUCUGACUUCUAUUGUUCUAUGAUUCCGUGACUCAUAGAAUUCUGAACGGGACCCAGAGCUUGGAUACUGAGGGACCACCAACCAUGAUAGAGACCAUCUGUAUCAGAUAAGAUCCUUUUAUUAAUAGGCAACAGAAAUAUCAACUAGAACUGGCUUUAAAAGUACAGAAAUUGGCCAGGCAUGGUGGUGCAAGCCUGUAAUCCCAGCUACUUGGGAGGCUGAGGCAGGAGAAUCUCUUGAAGCCAGGAGGCAGAGGUUGUGGUGAGCCAAGAUGGUGCCAUUGCACUCCAGCCUGGGCAACAAGAGCAGAACUCCAUACACUGAAAGUAUACUUGAACAGUUCCAACUGUACAUACUGUAUGAAGCUUGUCCUCUGACUAGGUUUCUUAUUUCUAUGUGGAAUUGCAUAUCUUGCAGCAUUCCCUGUAGCAAGAUGUCUGUAGCUGUUUCAGUGAUCAAUUAG